GUCUACAGCCACACUACCCUGAAUGUGCCCUAUCUCGUCUGAUCUCAGAAGCUAAGCAGGGUCAAGCCUGGUUAGUACUUGGAUGGGCGAGUACAGGGUAUGGGCA
rnacentral:rRNA from 1 species